rnacentral:rRNA from 1 species
CGUAGGGUGCGAGCGUUAAUCGGAAUUACUGGGCGUAAAGCGUGCGCAGGCGGUUUUGUAAGCCAGAUGUGAAAUCCCCGGGCUCAACCUGGGAAUGGCAUUUGGGACUGCAAGGCUGGAGUGUGGCAGAGGAGACUGGAAUUCCUGGUGUAGCAGUGAAAUGCGUAGAUAUCAGGAGGAAUACCGAUGGCGAAGGCAGGUCUCUGGGCUAACACUGACGCUCAUGCACGAAAGCGUGGGGAGCAAACAGGAUUAGACACCCUGGUAGUCCACGCCCUAAACGAUGUCGGCUGGUUGUUGGGGGUUUGACACUCUCAGUAACGAAGCUAACGCGUGAAGUCGACCGCCUGGGGAGUACGGCCGCAAGGUUA